CAGUCGCCACGGUAAUACGAAGGGGGCUAGCGUUGCUCGGAAUGACUGGGCGUAAAGGGCGCGUAGGCGGCGGCCAAAGUCAGGCGUGAAAUUCCUGGGCUCAACCUGGGGGCUGCGCUUGAUACUUGGUUGCUUGAGUGGGGAAGAGGGUCGUGGAAUUCCCAGUGUAGAGGUGAAAUUCGUAGAUAUUGGGAAGAACACCGGUGGCGAAGGCGGCGACCUGGUCCUUUACUGACGCUGAGGCGCGAAAGCGUGGGGAGCAAACAGGAUUAGAGACCCCCGUAGUCCCUGUCUCUUAUAC
rnacentral:rRNA from 1 species